rnacentral:tRNA from 1 species
GGAGAGAUGGUAGAGCGGUUGAAUACACCAGUCUUGAAAACUGGCAGCGGCUUAACGUCGCUCGCGGGUUCGAAUCCCGCUCUCUCCGCCA